rnacentral:rRNA from 1 species
GAUUUAUUUGGUAAAACGUAUGUUGACGUGGUAAAGUCAUAUAUUGAUUAUUAGAUGGUAGUGAAAUGUUUAUCGUUUUUCAGGAUAGCUAGUUUAUUGGUGAAGGAUAUCUAAGUAUUAUAACAGUGGUAUAAUUGCUUAUAUAUUUAACUGUUAGUGUAUUAUGUAGGGGAUAAGCUUUACAUAGUGUGUAGAAUAUUUAAGGAUAUGACUAUUAUAACUUAAGUAGGGUUAAAAUAAGUUCUUCUUGUUGAUUUAAGUUUUAGUGUUGGAUUAUUAUAUUCAGGGUGCUAGCUAAUAAAUAGUUGUGAAUUAUAAUUAAUUAAAUAUAAUGUUAAUAUGAGUAUUGGUAUAUUAUAUAUUAUGUAUUUGUAAUUUUUGUAGUUGUAAAUAAUUAUAAGUUGUAAUGUAAGUAAAAUAAAAUAAAGGAAUUCGGCAAAUAUUAAUCUCGCCUGUUUAUCAAAAACAUCUCUCUUUGUGGUUUGUAUAUAAGGAG